rnacentral:rRNA from 1 species
AGUGAACGCUGGCGGUAGGCCUAACACAUGCAAGUCGAACGGCAGCACAGUAAGAGCUUGCUCUUACGGGUGGCGAGUGGCGGACGGGUGAGGAAUACAUCGGAAUCUACUUUUUCGUGGGGGAUAACGUAGGGAAACUUACGCUAAUACCGCAUACGACCUACGGGUGAAAGCAGGGGAUCUUCGGACCUUGCGCGAUUGAAUGAGCCGAUGUCGGAUUAGCUAGUUGGCGGGGUAAAGGCCCACCAAGGCGACGAUCCGUAGCUGGUCUGAGAGGAUGAUCAGCCACACUGGAACUGAGACACGGUCCAGACUACUACGGGAGGCAGCAGUGGGGAAUAUUGGACAAUGGGCGCAAGCCUGAUCCAGCCAUACCGCGUGGGUGAAGAAGGCCUUCGGGUUGUAAAGCCCUUUUGUUGGGAAAGAAAAGCAGCAGGGUAAUACCCCGCUGUUCUGACGGUACCCAAAGAAUAAGCACCGGCUAACUUCGUG